CAGAAUAGCCACCUGGCAGAAGACAGUGGAAAUGAGUAAAGGAGUCUAAGGAACCAAAAUGUUCAUACAAGAGGGGUUUUUCUGGAGUAUUCUGCCUUGGCUUAGAAGUUCCCCUUUGGUGAAGAAUUUUUUAAAAGUUUUUGAGUUCCCAUCAGCCAUUCAGAUAGACACACCAUGCAUGAACUACAGCAUCUGUGAGCAGUUCAAGGUGACACAAGAUCCAUUCAAGCCUUCCAACCCAGUCUGCUGGUGGUGGUGUCCCCAAAGCCACUGUCCUGCUGGCUAGUGCUGUGCAGCUACCUGAAUUCUGAAAUCCACCCUUCACAGUCUGGGGGCAAGGCCCAGCAGUGGCAGACAGCAAGAACUGCAAGGUGGCAAAGUUCCUUCUAAAUCCCCAGCUUCCCUGUACCUCUUGGGGAGCUUUAGGGUAGCAGUUUGCUUAGGUGAGAGCUUUGGAAGCACACAGAGCUGCUCCUCACCUCUGCCAGCCGGUCAGCGCGAUACCUUCGAGGACAUCAGCAGGGCUCCUGCUGGCCACCUGCAGCCACUCCAGCUGGUUCCUGAGGUGGUGCCCGAUCAGUGUCAGAGACUGAUUCACCCCCGUGGCUCCCUUGAAGGCACUUGCAAACCACACCUUGGAGAAGCCACACCUGCGGUACUUCUCUAUGAGCUGCACUGCGGGGAGACACAAAGGGACACGCACAGGAUGAGCUUUCUCCAGUUUCAGCCCACGCUGCAAUGCUGCAGUGAGGGGAACACAGCUCCAGAUCCAACAGGCUGCUGAGCCUUUUCAGGCUUGGAGCAUCAGCAAGGAGGGGGCAUUUGACACCCUCUCUGAGCAGCCUUUGAAGUGGCUGUCCUGCUAUUUUCAUAUGUCAGUUACUGUACUCCACUCCCUUGUAUUGCUACCAUGCUAAAAGCUGUGAGAUUGUAACAAGCAUGCACAACAUCUGACAGCUGAUUGUUCUGGCAACAAAGAAAUAUUUGCAUGAAUGUUAGAUGCCUGACAGGAGCCUUUAGGAGCUUCCCUCUGAAUUCUAUAGAUGUAUGGAGCACUGCAGCUUCUUUUGCAGAGCUGUUCAAUACAGUUAUGUGUUGCUACUGCUGUUAAUGCAAGGAGAAUUAAUAUAACAGUGCUUGUGGGAAACCUCUGAAUCUCCUAUCAGUGAUUCCAUAGCUCUGCUAAAAAUGAAUUAAGCAGCCUACAAUGCAAGUCAUUCAUAGGGGAAACAUAAAUAGAAAAAGAAAAUAAGUAACAGCAGUUAUGAUGUGAAAUCAAAUAAGGGCUGUCUUUAUGCUAUUAAGGCAAUAAAAAACAAUUCAA